rnacentral:rRNA from 1 species
AGAGUUUGAUCCUGGCUCAGGACGAACGCUGGCGGCGUGCCUAAUACAUGCAAGUCGAGCGGACAUUUGGGAGCUUGCUCCCAAAUGUUAGCGGCGGACGGGCGAGUAACACGUGGGCAACCUACCUGUAAGACUGGGAUAACUUCGGGAAACCGGAGCUAAUACCGGAUAACUUCUUUCCUCGCAUGAGGAAAGGUUAAAAGACGGCUUACGCUGUCACUUAUAGAUGGGCCCGCGGCGCAUUAGCUAGUUGGUGAGGUAACGGCUCACCAAGGCGACGAUGCGUAGCCGACCUGAGAGGGUGAUCGGCCACACUGGGACUGAGACACGGCCCAGACUCCUACGGGAGGCAGCAGUAGGGAAUCUUCCGCAAUGGACGAAAGUCUGACGGAGCAACGCCGCGUGAGUGAUGAAGGUUCUCGGAUCGUAAAACUCUGUUGUCAGGGAAGAACAAGUGCCGGAGUAACUGUCGGCACCUUGACGGUACCUGAUUAGAAAGCUACGGCUAACUACGUGCCAGCAGCCGCGGUAAUACGUAGGUGGCAAGCGUUGUCCGGAAUUAUUGGGCGUAAAGCGCGCGCAGGCGGUCUCUUAAGUCUGAUGUGAAAGCCCACGGCUCAACCGUGGAGGGUCAUUGGAAACUGGGAGACUUGAGUGCAGAAGAGAAGAGCGGAAUUCCACGUGUAGCGGUGAAAUGCGUAGAGAUGUGGAGGAACACCAGUGGCGAAGGCGGCUCUUUGGUCUGUAGCUGACGCUGAGGCGCGAAAGCGUGGGGAGCGAACAGGAUUAGAUACCCUGGUAGUCCACGCCGUAAACGAUGAGUGCUAAGUGUUAGAGGGUUUCCGCCCUUUAGUGCUGCAGCUAACGCAUUAAGCACUCCGCCUGGGGAGUACGGCCGCAAGGCUGAAACUCAAAGGAGUUGACGGGGGCCCGCACAAGCGGUGGAGCAUGUGGUUUAAUUCGAAGCAACGCGAAGAACCUUACCAGGUC